UACGUAGGGUGCAAGCGUUGUCCGGAAUUAUUGGGCGUAAAGAGCUCGUAGGCGGCUUGUCGCGUCGCUGUGAAAACCUGGGGCUCAACCCCGGGCCUGCAGCCGAUACGGGCAGCUAGAAUUCGGUAGGGGAGACUGGAAUUCCUGGUGUAGCGGUGAAAUGACGCAGAUAUCAGGAGGAACACCGGUGGCGAAGGCGGGUCUCUGGGCCGAAAUUGACGCUGAGGCACGAAGGUCAGGGGAGCAAACGGG
rnacentral:rRNA from 1 species